UGUAUUCUCCGUAUACCGCACCUCAACCAAGCCAGAAAUUGAUCCGAGCAGUCUAGUAAUUGCAGGAAACCAUUCAUGUGUCCCUGUAAUCUGCACUCCAGACUUUGCGGUCUUCAAAUUUCCUGUGACUGGCUGUGGGACACGUGUCUUUACUGUGGCGGAGACUACAAUCUAUCUUGCUGAAGUUCGUGGUUUGGUUCGGGGGAUCCAGCAGAUGUAUGGACAAAUUACCAGAGAUGGCCCUUAUCGUUUCCAUGUGGAAUGUCGCUAUUCUAAAGGAAACUUGGCCAGCAUGGGUUACUUGGUGGUGAACCCAUCGCCUCCAUCAGCAGCCUUGGCUUUUGGCUGGCUUGGGGUUA